rnacentral:rRNA from 1 species
UACGUAGGGUGCAAGCGUUAAUCGGAAUUACUGGGCGUAAAGCGUGCGCAGGCGGUGAUGUAAGACAGAUGGGAAAUCCCCGGGCUCAACCUGGGAACUGCAUUUGUGACUGCAUCGCUGGAGUACGGCAGAGGGGGAUGGAAUUCCGCGUGUAGCAGUGAAAUGCGUAGAUAUGCGGAGGAACACCGAUGGCGAAGGCAAUCCCCUGGGCCUGUACUGACGCUCAUGCACGAAAGCGUGGGGAGCAAACAGG